rnacentral:rRNA from 1 species
UACGUAGGGUGCGAGCGUUGUCCGGAAUUACUGGGCGUAAAGAGCUCGUAGGUGGUUUGUCGCGUUGUCCGUGAAAACUCACAGCUCAACUGUGGGCGUGCGGGCGAUACGGGCAGACUGGAGUACUGCAGGGGAGACUGGAAUUCCUGGUGUAGCGGUGGAAUGCGCAGAUAUCAGGAGGAGCACCGGUGGCGAAGGCGGGUCUCUGGGCAGUAACUGACGCUGAGGAGCGAAAGCGUGGGGAGCGAACAGG